UCAUCUGACCGACAUUUCGACCCUACAGGGUCUUCCUCAAAAUUCUUGAGGAAGACCCUGUAGGGUCGAAAUGUCGGUCAGAUGAUGUAACC